UUCGUUCGAACGAUACACCUCGGACGCGCCGUGAAUAAAACGACGUGUAAGUAGCAUAUCGCACUCGACAGCCUGAUCGACAAGGUUCAUCCCGCCUUCGUACCAAAUAAAGUCCUGGGUGUUUUGCGAUUUUAACGGACUGCCAUUUUUUUUUCCUCUCCCUCUCGAUGGCGCGGUAUGCGGGCACAAAAUCGGCCGACCAUACUUUAAAAUGCGCUUAAGGGAGGGAGAGAAGUUUUAAACAGUAGGGGAUGGAAAAGCGACGGAGGUUGGCCGUUGCAAGGGGAAUGGAAUUCGGGCCCCACCCUGGCGUGCUUAAAAACGGUACCCAACCAAUGACAUCGGAAGAGC